rnacentral:misc_RNA from 1 species
AAAGUCGUAACAAGGUUUCCGUAGGUGAACCUGCGGAAGGAUCAUUACCGAGUGCGGGCUCGCUUCGUGCGGCCCAACCUCCCACCCGUGAUUAUUCGUACCUUGCGUUGCUUCGGCGCGGCCGCCGCGCCCGCCGGAGACCCCCUCUUGAACGCUGUUCUAUUGAAAGGGAAUUGCAGUCUGAGUCGAACCUAUUUGAAAUCGGUUAAAACUUUCAACAACGGAUCUCUUGGUUCCG